UCUCCCUCUCUUACAACUCUAGGGUUUAGGACAAAGACUUGUUCUUUUAAGACAAGCCUAAUCCUAAUAGCUCUAAGGGUUUAAGAGGUUUAAAAAAAGGUGGUCAAGUCCAGUGGGUGGUUCUGAGAGGUUCAGACUCAGGUCUGAAGAAAGGUCUGAUCAAUUGGUGGCUAGUUGAAUUCUAGGGGCUAGAACUCUUGAAGCAAGG
rnacentral:lncRNA from 1 species